UACGGGGGGGGCAAGCGUUGUUCGGAAUUACUGGGCGUAAAGGGCUCGUAGGCGGCCAACUAAGUCAGACGUGAAAUCCCUCGGCUUAACCGGGGAACUGCGUCUGAUACUGGUUGGCUUGAGUGUGGGAGAGGGAUGCGGAAUUCCAGGUGUAGCGGUGAAAUGCGCAGAUAUCUGGAGGAACACCGGUGGCGAAGGCGGCAUCCUGGACCAUUACUGACGCUGAGGCACGAAAGCUAGGGGAGCAAACAGG
rnacentral:rRNA from 1 species